AGACCCGAAACCCGGUGAUCUAGCCAUGGGCAGGUUGAAGGUUGGGUAACACUAACUGGAGGACCGAACCGACUAAUGUUGAAAAAUUAGCGGAUGACCUGUGGCUGGGGGUGAAAGGCCAAUCAAACCGGGAGAUAGCUGGUUCUCCCCGAAAGCUAUUUAGGUAGCGCCUCGUGAAUUCAUCUCCGGGGGUAGAGCACUGUUUCGGCUAGGGGGCCAUCCCGGCUUACCAACCCGAUGCAAACUGCGAAUACCGGAGAAUGUUAUCACGGGAGACACACGGCGGGUGCUAACGUCCGUCGUGAAGAGGGAAACAACCCAGACCGCCAGCUAAGGUCCCAAAGUCAUGGUUAAGUGGGAAACGAUGUGGGAAGGCCCAGACAGCCAGGAUGUUGGCUUAGAAGCAGCCAUCAUUUAAAGAAAGCGUAAUAGCUCACUGGUCGAGUCGGCCUGCGCGGAAGAUGUAACGGGGCUAAACCAUGCACCGAAGCUGCGGCAGCGACACUCAGGUGUUGUUGGGUAGGGGAGCGUUCUGUAAGCCUGCGAAGGUGGCCUGUGAGGGUUGCUGGAGGUAUCAGAAGUGCGAAUGCUGACAUAAGUAACGAUAAAGCGGGUGAAAAGCCCGCUCGCCGGAAGACCAAGGGUUCCUGUCCAACGUUAAUCGGGGCAGGGUGAGUCGACCCCUAAGGCGAGGCCGAAAGGCGUAGUCGAUGGGAAACGGGUUAAUAUUCCCGUACUUGGUGUUACUGCGAAGGGGGGACGGAGAAGGCUAUGUUGGCCGGGCGACGGUUGUCCCGGUUUAAGCGUGUAGGUGUGUGUUCCAGGUAAAUCCGGUUCACUUUAACACUGAGGCGUGAUGACGAGGCACUACGGUGCUGAAGCAACAAAUGCCCUGCUUCCAGGAAAAGCCUCUAAGCAUCAGGUAACAU
rnacentral:rRNA from 1 species